rnacentral:rRNA from 1 species
AACGAACGCUGGCGGCAUGCCUAACACAUGCAAGUCGAACGAGACCUUCGGGUCUAGUGGCGCACGGGUGCGUAACGCGUGGGAACCUGCCCUUAGGUUCGGAAUAACUCCCCGAAAGGGGUGCUAAUACCGGAUAAUGUCUUCGGACCAAAGAUUUAUCGCUUUUGGAUGGGCCCGCGUUGGAUUAGCUAGUUGGUAGGGUAAAAGCCUACCAAGGCGACGAUCCAUAGCUGGUCUGAGAGGAUGAUCAGCCACACUGGGACUGAGACACGGCCCAGACUCCUACGGGAGGGAGCAGUGGGGAAUAUUGGACAAUGGGCGAAAGCCUGAUCCAGCAAUGCCGCGUGAGUGAUGAAGGCCUUAGGGUUGUAAAGCUCUUUUACCCGGGAUGAUAAUGACAGUACCGGGAGAAUAAGCUCCGGCUAACUCCGUG